UGGGGAAUAUUGCACAAUGGGCGCAAGCCUGAUGCAGCGACGCCGCGUGAGGGAUGGAGGCCUUCGGGUUGUAAACCUCUUUCGCCAGUGAAGCAGGCCAUCUUCUUUGUGGGGUGGUUGACGGUAGCUGGGUAAGAAGCGCCGGCUAACUACGUGCCAGCAGCCGCGGUAAUACGUAGGGCGCGAGCGUUGUCCGGAAUUAUUGGGCGUAAAGAGCUCGUAGGCGGCUGGUCGCGUCUGUCGUGAAAUCCCCUGGCUUAACUGGGGGCUUGCGGUGGGUACGGGCCGGCUUGAGUGCGGUAGGGGAGACUGGAAUUCCUGGUGUAGCGGUGGAAUGCGCAGAUAUCAGGAGGAACACCGGUGGCGAAGGCGGGUCUCUGGGCCGUUACUGACGCUGAGGAGCGAAAGCGUGGGGAGCGAACAGG
rnacentral:rRNA from 1 species